rnacentral:rRNA from 1 species
CCUACGGGAGGCAGCAGUGGGGAAUAUUGCACAAUGGGGGAAACCCUGAUGCAGCGACGCAGCGUGGGUGAAGAAGCGCCUCGGCGCGUAAAGCCCUGUCAGCAGGGAAGAAAAUCACGGUACCUGAAGAAGAAGCCCCGGCUAACUACGUGCCAGCAGCCGCGGUAAUACGUCGGGGGCAAGCGUUAUCCGGAUUUACUGGGCGUAAAGGGGGCGCAGACGGCGAUGCAAGCCAGGAGUGAAAGCCCGGGGGCCAACCCCGGGACUGCUCUUGGAACUGCGUGGCUAGAGUGCAGGAGGGGCAGGCGGAAUUCGUGGUGUAGCGGUGAAAUGCGUAGAUAUCAGGAGGAACACCGAUGGCGAAGGCGGCCUGCUGGACUGCAACUGACGUUGAGGCCCGAAAGCGUGGGGAGCAAACAGGAUUAGAUACCCGUGUAGUC